rnacentral:rRNA from 1 species
AUUGAACGCUGGCGGCAUGCUUUACACAUGCAAGUCGAACGGUAACAGGGACUUCGGUCUGCUGACGAGUGGCGAACGGGUGAGUAACAUAUCGGAACGUGCCCAGUAAUGGGGGAUAGCUCGGCGAAAGCCGGAUUAAUACCGCAUACGCCCUACGGGGGAAAGCCGGGGAUCUUCGGACCUGGCGCUAGUAGAUGAGCCCGCGUGAGAUUAGCUUGUUGGUGGGGUAAUGGCCUACCAAGGCAACGAUCUCUAGCUGGUCUGAGAGGACGAUCAGCCACACUGGGACUGAGACACGGCCCAGACUCCUACGGGAGGCAGCAGUGGGGAAUAUUGGACAAUGGGCGAAAGCCUGAUCCAGCAAUGCCGCGUGUGUGAAGAAGGCCUGAGGGUUGUAAAGCACUUUCAAUCGUGAAGAAAAGUUGCAGGCUAAUACCCUGUGACCUUGACGUUAACGAUACAAGAAGCACCGGCUAACUCCGUGCCAGCA